UGGGGAAUUUUGGACAAUGGGCGAAAGCCUGAUCCAGCAAUGCCGCGUGUGUGAAGAAGGCCUUCGGGUUGUAAAGCACUUUUGUCCGGAAAGAAAUCCUUGGCUCUAAUACAGUCGGGGGAUGACGGUACCGGAAGAAUAAGCACCGGCUAACUACGUGCCAGCAGCCGCGGUAAUACGUAGGGUGCAAGCGUUAAUCGGAAUUACUGGGCGUAAAGCGUGCGCAGGCGGUUUGCUAAGACCGAUGUGAAAUCCCCGGGCUCAACCUGGGAACUGCAUUGGUGACUGGCAGGCUAGAGCAUGGCAGAGGGGGGUAGAAUUCCACGUGUAGCAGUGAAAUGCGUAGAGAUGUGGAGGAAUACCGAUGGCGAAGGCAGCCCCUGGGCCCAAUACUGACGCUCAUGCACGAAAGGC
rnacentral:rRNA from 1 species